rnacentral:tRNA from 1 species
CGGGGUGUAGGAUAAUGGCUAUUCCGCUUGUUUUGGGUACAAGAUAUUGGAGGUUCGAAUCCUCUCACCCCGA